CGUUCGAUUCUUGAGGGGAGCUGAAAAUAGUACGAGAGGACCUUUUUGGACCGACCUCUGGUGUACCUGCUGUCCUGCCAAGGGUUGAGAGCCCUAGGAGAUGACUAGGUUGAUAGGCGCUAGGUAUAAGCACCGUAAGGUGUUAAGCCGAGGCGUACUAAUUGCUCGA
rnacentral:ncRNA from 1 species